rnacentral:rRNA from 1 species
CGCUAUCACUCCUACGGGAGGCAGCAGUGGGGAAUAUUGCACAAUGGGGGAAACCCUGAUGCAGCCAUGCCGCGUGUGUGAAGAAGGCCUUCGGGUUGUAAAGCACUUUCAGUAGGGAGGAAGGUAGUGUAGUUAACACCUGCACUAUUUGACGUUACCUACAGAAGAAGCACCGGCUAACUCCGUGCCAGCAGCCGCGGUAAUACGGAGGGUGCGAGCGUUAAUCGGAAUUACUGGGCGUAAAGCGCAUGCAGGCGGCCUGUUAAGUCAGAUGUGAAAGCCCGGGGCUUAACCUCGGAAUUGCAUUUGAAACUGGCAGGCUAGAGUCUUGUAGAGGGGGUAGAAUUUCGGGUGUAGCGGUGAAAUGCGUAGAGAUCUGAAGGAAUACCAGUGGCGAAGGCGGCCCCCUGGACAAAGACUGACGCUCAGAUGCGAAAGCGUGGGGAGCAAACAGGAUUAGAUACCCUGGUAG